GCGGCUUUAGCUCACUUGGGAGAGCGCCAGACUGAAGUCAACUUCAGAUCAUUGAAAUCUGGAGGCACUGUGUUCGAUCCACAGAAGCCGCA